rnacentral:rRNA from 1 species
UAGGGAAUCUUCGGCAAUGGACGAAAGUCUGACCGAGCAACGCCGCGUGAGUGAAGAAGGUUUUCGGAUCGUAAAACUCUGUUGUUAGAGAAGAACAAGGACGUUAGUAACUGAACGUCCCCUGACGGUAUCUAACCAGAAAGCCACGGCUAACUACGUGCCAGCAGCCGCGGUAAUACGUAGGUGGCAAGCGUUGUCCGGAUUUAUUGGGCGUAAAGCGAGCGCAGGCGGUUUCUUAAGUCUGAUGUGAAAGCCCCCGGCUCAACCGGGGAGGGUCAUUGGAAACUGGGAGACUUGAGUGGAGAAGAGGAGAGUGGAAGUCCAUGUGUAGCGGUGAAAUGCGUAGAUAUAUGGAGGAACGCCGGUGGCGAAGGCGGCUCUCUGGUCUGUAACUGACGCUGAGGCUCGAAAGCGUGGGGAGCAAACAGG